GGUGGAGAAAUAUCUGCACAUGCGCAGAUGGACAGCACAUUCAAAGAUCACUCUUCAGCGAUCGGCGCCAUUUUUGAAUCAGACGAAGAUAACAGUGCCAAACGAGGAACGUUUUCAUUAUGUGGAAACACAGAACAACUUUGAGUAAGUAAAACUCCCAUGAGCCUCUCACACAUCCAGAUCAAAUCCAGCACUCUUUAUAGAGCAAGAGGUAUCUGUGAAAUUCAGUUGGAUUACAACAAUCCCUUUGGUCUCCAAAUAUAUGGGACUGCUUGAUCAUUUCUCAAACCAAAGAAAGGAGCAGCAGCAGCACAGAAGAUCACAAACAUCCUGUCAGUUAUGGCUCAGGUAUGUUAUCUA